UUAUUAAUAUCUAUUAAGAAUUUACACUAAGUUUAAAUAUUUAAUGCUAAUAUUUAUUAAGAAAUUGCCUUAAUUUAGAAUAAAUAUUAAGUUUUAAUGUUGGUUAAGAAAUAUGACAUCACAUAACAGAGAGAAAAAGAGGCUGCCCUGCGUGGAAGCCAUUGUUGGCAUGAGAAGGACCGACUCAUGGCUGCCUACGUGUGGGGCCCAGUCACGGGCACUGCGACGGGGGGAUUGGUCGUUCCAUGAAACUUACAAUUUCGAGCCCUCUGAUUUCAAUAGUAGUGGUGGCGUCGCAAGGAGAUGAGUGGAAUGGCAUCGAUGGAGCUGGGCAAUUCUGGCGAAUCUGUAAACGGCGCAUCAUCCAUAUUUUGGCUUUAGAUGGCGGCGCCCUUUCGAAUUCGUGCAGUUCGGAGCUAGACGAUUCCAAUGACGCCGGUAAUGUCGCAAGGAGAUAUCAAGAAGGUCUCCGAUCGAAGCUUGGCCGAGACCUCUAGUUUUGGUUACGCCUGCUAUUUCACAGUGGCAGAUCAAAGUUCUUCGCCUCAACUUUCGCUUCCUAGACAUCCCUGAGUUCAACAACGUUGUCGACGAUAUGAAACGAUGGGUGGAGGCCAUCAUUCCAAGGAUGGCAACGGCUGUGGAGAAAUUUCUGAUCAUGCCUGGGUUGGUGACGGCGCGAGCCCUUGGGCUUGAAGGUCGGAGACCCCUGGUCAUGGAGGGAUGGGUCGUGCCACAUGUGGUGGCUCAAUGGUCGGUGCCAGUGACGGAGCAAGCUAUUGCUUCGUGCCUUUUAUAUUUGGGAGAUUCACUAUUAUACCCAAUAUGGGGGCCCAAAUUAUAAAAAUACCCUAUAUAAAAUGGACUUUAGAAACACACCCAAAGCCCAUUUACAACAUAACAAAAAAACUUUUAACUUCUUAUAAAUUACAAAACUGCCAUCAAUUUCUUAAAACAAGCCCAACCCCAAAAUCUCAUAAAAAUACCCAAAGCACUCAAUAGGGCAUCAAAGUAAUUUAAUAAUCAAUAUUAAAUUCAAUAAGGCUAGCUAUCAUUUUUUGGGUUUUUUUUGGGUUUGUUUAUAGGAAUUCAAUUGUGUAGGGUUUAUUUAUAAUAUUAGUGCUAGAAAUGGGUAUAUCACUAAAUAUCUCUUUAUAUUUUUGUUGCUUCUGUAUCGCUUGGCUGGAGGCAUGUUUGUGGGGGGGUUUUGGUAAAUACCCAAAUCUUUGUAUCUGAAAUUCCAAUUCUUCUGGUUGUUUUGGUCCAAUAGAAAAAUAGAUUUUUCAGAAGAAAGAUGUGUUCACCGCGGCCAUGGGUGGGUUAAGAGAAUUUCGCUGGUGAUGCGGUGGUUGUUCUCGUUGUGUUCCUAGCAAUGAGGCCUCUCACCAUAGUGAUUUGAGGGCUUUGGAUUGAUGACAGAUUCUAUUUAUGAGAGGGGAAAUAGAUUUCCCUUGAUUUGGAUUUGAGAGCAUCGCAUUGAGUAUAUCUCGAAUCUCUCAAUGAAAGCACCAAAUAUGUUUGAGCAAAUUUCUGCACGGGGAAUAUUCGCAUGUAGAUUUCGCCCUUCGAGACUGUGAAAAAGACUGGAGUAAAUAGAUACUAAGAUAAUAGAAAGGAUGGAGGUCUUCUCUCACGGUGAGAGCCGGGUGACCAGAGCCGAGAAGAAGAGAGUGGCAUGAGAGAGAGG
rnacentral:lncRNA from 1 species